GAAGAAAUUCAACCGAGCGCGGGUAAACAGAGGGAUUAACUAUGACUAUCUUAAGGUAUCCAUAUGCCUCUCCAUAUAAUUAGUGACAUGCAUGAAUGUAUCAUUAACGAGAUUCCCCACCAUCCCUAGCUACCAUAUUAUAGAGAAACCAAAUCCAAGGGAAUGGGCUUGUUAGAAUUAGCGAGGAAAGAAGACCCUCAUGUUGAGCUUGACUCUAUUCCUAACCAUUUCAUAGU
rnacentral:ncRNA from 1 species